UUCUAAUUAAGGUAUGUACAUUGUUUACUUAGAUGUAAUGCUACUGUACACUUAAUUUAUAGUAUAUUGUAAACAUAACUUCUAUAUGCACUGAGAAACCAGAAAUUUAUGUGACUCACUUUGUGGAUAUAUUCACUUUAUUAUAGUGGUAUGGAAUUAAGACUACAGUAUCUCAGAGGUGUGCCUGUAUUUACAUAUGUGUGGACAGAGUAAGGCACUAUGGUUUGAAUACUUGUGUCCCCUCUGAAAUCCAUGUUGAAACUUCAUCCCCAAUGCAACACUAUUAAGAAGUGUGGCCUUUGAGAGGUGAUUUGGUCAUGAAGGCUCUGCCCUCAUUAGUGCUCUUAUAAAAGGGCUAGAGAGAACUAGCUCAGCCCCCUUUUCACUUCCACCCUUCUGCCAUGUCAGGACACAACACUUGUUUCCUCUGGAGGAACCAGCAGCAAGGUGCCAUCUUGGAAGCAGUGAACAGGCUUUCAGCAGACACCAAACCCACUAGUGCCCUGGUCUUGGACUUCCACCCUCUAGAACUCCCAGGGUAACCAGCAGCUGAAAUCACAAGAACUUAUCUACCAGCCCACAACAUAAUUUACUUCAUUAGAAAGUUUUCCACAAGCUGGCAUUGGAAACUUGGGCUUUAGAAGUGAAAGAAAUCAAUUUAUCCCCUGCUCUGAGCCAUCCUGCCUUACGUGGCUGAUUUCUAAACCACCACACAGGCCUUGUUACAUUCUCCCUGCCGAGCAUCCUUCCAACUUGUGUAUAAUAAGGAGAUGAAGUUGAAAGAAGACGUCAAUGAACAUAGUAGUUUUUUUAAUCUAAAAAAUACAAACAGGCUUUAAAAGACCAUAUGUAAGUCUUCUUUAGUUUCCAAACCACAAUAGAUGUACUAGGCAUGAUUAUUCUAAGGUCCCUGCAAUAAAUGAAAUCCGAGGUAGUUCCAACAAAUGAUGAAUUCAUGGUGGAAAAAUAAUUUCACUCAUUUGCUGUCUUAUCAUAGGUUUUGUUUUCUCUCCAAAAAAUACAUAGUUGGGGUGAGGGGGCAAUACAGAAAAAAAAGAAACGGGGGAUGAUUGCAUUGUUUACAAAGCAAAAAGGAAAUUAUUUGGUUCUGUGAAUGCAAAAUGUUUUGACAGUAUUUCCGAUUUUGCAGGACAUCUGGUGUAGAUGAUAUCGAGGGCAUUAGAAGUAAAUAGCUAAAUUCUGUUAUUAGUUCUGUUACUAUUCUACCAUAUGGAAAUAUUUUUAUUUUUCCCCUCAGUUUAAUUCAUUGUUGACUUGGGAGAGAAAAAAUCCAAUUAAAAAUGACAUGUGAACUGCUUGUCACCCAACUCUUGGUUGCCUAACAUUGUGGCCUAUUUUUUGUAUAGAGACCCAGUUCUUGAAUUAGCCUCUAUAAAUAUGUUUCCAUGUAUUGGCUUGAAUUUUGUAUAGAAAUCAGAGUUGUAAAAAAUUAAAGGUCUGGAAGACUCAGUCUUGUUAAAAUGUCAAUUCACUCCAAAUUAAUUUAUGUAUAGGUUCAGUGCAAACCUAAUAAAAAUCUUAGUAAGUUGUUUUGUGGAUAAUGACAAGCUGAUUCUAAAACUCAUAUUUAAAAGCAAAGAAACCUCAAUAGCCAAAGCAAUUUUGAUAAAAUAACAAAGAUAGAACCCUCACACUACAUAAUUUCAAGACUUACUGUGAAGCCACGUUAAUCAAGACAGCAUGGUGUUGGUGAACGCAUGAAUCAAACUGAUGGGGUCUAGACUCAAUGACUUCCCAAUAAUAAUGAACAAACCUACAGCCCAGAUAUCUGUUUCUAAAUGCCAUUUUACAGUAGAAGAAACCAGACCUCCUUGUAGAAUUAGUUGAAUCCCAGGACGGGACAGGGAAAACUUAAGAUAAGCCUAGAGCAUCUAGUGGUGCCAGAAAGUAAGGAAGUGCUCAAAAAAGAAUGGGGGCAUGUCCAAAGCUCACAGGAGCCAACAUGAAAGAGCUCCCAAUGUCCCAAGUCUGAGCAAGUUAAUGAUAGAUUAUUUUUAUCAAGAGAAUACAAUAAGCAUCCAUGAGUCUAUGACAUAAAGAAAUGAAUGAAUGAAUGAAUGGGAGAUAACAGCUCUCCCAAUGAAUAAAUGUAGAAAGAAGAUGGAAAUAUGAAUUCACCAAUAGAAUGCCACAGUAAUAAUUGUUGCAGGCAAGAUGUACCAACGAAAGCCAAAAUUCGUGGGUAAAACUUUGAGGAUAAAGAUUAUAUGUGCCUAGUGCAAAAUUAUCUCCUUCAAGAUACCCAUUAAUUGCUAAAGGAAAAAUAGUAAUUUUAAAAAUGGAAACACCUGGCAGAUGCCAUCUCAGCCAAGUGAUCAAGAUUAACAUCACCAGUAAAAAGACAUACUGACAUCCCAUACUUCCUGAUUUGAUACACUAAGAAGGGCUUAUCGUUUCUGUGGUACUCUUGGCCAACAAUGCGCAAGUAACAUUUAUUCAUUGAAACACAUUAGGCAGAACCAAAUUGCAGGACAUUCCUCAAAAUAGCUGUGCAAUACUCUUCAAAAGUGUCAGAUCCUGGAAGACAAAGAGAUACUGAGGAACCAUCACAGAGUGGGAGAGGACAUGGAGACAUAAAAACUAACUGUAAUGUGGAAUCCUACAUUGGAUCAUGGACCAGAAAGAGAACACUGAUGGGAAGACUGAUGAAAUCUGACCCUGGACAGAAGUGAACACCAAAUAUAGGAAAAGAGAGUAAACUCCAGGUGUGUGCACAGCCAUCAGUCACGAUUGAAGCACAGAAAUGAAACGUAAUUAGAAACUCUUGGAUGGAAGAGAGUUAUAAAAUACAGCUAUGAGAUAAAAAGUAAAAAUUAGAAGGUCAGUGGGUUUUCAAAACAAAUAUAGUAGAUUCUAAGUGACAUUUUAUAUAACAAAUAACUCAGUGGAAUGGUAGAACAUUAUUUGGAAUAUGCUGGGGAUUGCAUAUAUCUUGCACUUCACAAAAAAUAAAAAAGACAACCAGAAUGCCAGAGAAUAAUUUUUUUAAAACCCACCAAAAUGUAUACAAGAAAGGAAUGAACCAAAUAUAAAGUAGAUCAAAACAUUACAUUAUUUUGAUCAAUUGUGAAGAAUAAAAAUCAGAAUCUGUUUUGGCAUUCUUCUUUCAUUGGCCAGUAAAUUGUGGCUUUAAAACUACAAAACUAAGGUCAGGCGCGGUGACAUGCUAUUGAGUCCCAGCUACUCAGGAGACUGAGGUGAGAGAAUUGCUUGAAGCCAGGGAUUUUAAUCCAUCCUGGGCAACACAGCAAGAUUCUGGCUCUACUAAAACUAAAACAACUAUACUACUACUACUUGAUGAUUCAGUAAAUAAUAUUUAACGUAGUCAAGUAAUAUAAAUACUGAUUUUCAAUUUUUGGGAACAAGGGUGAAUCAAUCAUGAAAUGCUUACUAAUGAAAACAAAACAAAAUGUAAACCUGAUUAAUCUUGACCAUGUAAAAGUACAGCUGAGAGCAGGUGGCCCAGACAGUUAUGCUGUUCACAGACUUGAAGUUGAAGGGUACUGGGCUAGUCUCCUUGGGCAGAAGACCAGUUUGACGAGAGCUUUAAAAUGUCUGUAGUGUCUGAGUUAGGAAUCCUCUUUUAGGAAUGGAUAACUGGAUGUUCAAAAGUUUACGCAUGGGAACCUGAGGAUGGUCAUCACAGCAUUAUUUGCAUUAGUAAGAAAAAAGGUAACAAUGUCAAUGUGCAAACAAUAGAAAAUGCUUAAAUGAAUUGACAUAUCUGUACAAUAAUAUAUAACAUUAAAAUGGUAAAUUUUAAUGAUUUGGGAAAUAUUUGUAAUACAAUAUUGCUCAAAUAAAUUAGCUGAAUGGGACUCUAUUUCCAUGUCAUAGACUGGGUGGCUUAAACAACAGAGAUUUACUUCCCAUAAUCCUAGAGACUGGAAAGGCCAAAAUGAAAGUGCUUUCAGAUUCGGUUUCUGGUGAGGGCUCUCUCCCUGGCUUGUAGACAGCACUGUGUGCUCACAUGGCAGAGGCCAACUGAGUGAGCUCUGCCUUCUCUUCCUUUUCUAAUAAGGACAAUAAUCCCAUCAUGGGGCCCUACCUUAUGACUUUAUCUAAACCUAAUCACUUCCCUAGGAACCCAGCUCCAAAUACCAUCACAUUGGGGGUUACAGUUUCAACAUAUAAAUUUUGGGGGGGCACAAAC
rnacentral:lncRNA from 1 species